UAAAAUGACGUCAUCAUUUCUCAAGUGGAAAAGUGGAAACUGGAGUGAAUACUCCAUUUUUUACUUUUUCACUUGAGAAAUGAUGACGUCAUUUUCU
rnacentral:pre_miRNA from 1 species